rnacentral:rRNA from 1 species
UACGGAGGGUGCGAGCGUUGUCCGGAAUCAUUGGGCGUAAAGGGCGCGUAGGCGGGCGGCCAAGUCAGGGGUGAAAGCCCCCAGCUCAACUGGGGAAGUGCCUUUGAUACUGGCCAUCUCGAGGGAGGUAGGGGCGUGCGGAACUUCCGGUGGAGCGGUGAAAUGCGUAGAUAUCGGAAGGAACACCGGUGGCGAAAGCGGCGCGCUGGACCUCUUCUGACGCUGAGGCGCGAAAGCCAGGGGAGCAAACGGG